rnacentral:rRNA from 1 species
GUUGAUUAUGGCUCAGGAUGAACGCUAGCGGCAGGCUAACACAUGCAAGUCGAGGGGUAACAGGGCGUAGCAAUACGCUGCUGACGACCGGCGCACGGGUGCGUAACGCGUAUGCAACCUACCUGUAACAGGGGGAUAACGGAGAGAAAUUUCCACUAAUACCCCAUAUUGUCUGGGAGCUGCAUGGGUUUCAGACGAAAGCUUUGGUGGUUACGGAUGGGCAUGCGUGACAUUAGGUAGUUGGCGGGGCAACGGCCCACCAAGCCGACGAUGUCUAGGGGAGCUGAGAGGCUGGACCCCCACACUGGUACUGAGACACGGACCAGACUCCUACGGGAGGCAGCAGUGAGGAAUAUUGGUCAAUGGGAGGAAUCCUGAACCAGCCAUGCCGCGUGAGGGGAAGGAAGGCCCUAUGGGUUGUAAACCUCUUUUGCCUCGGGGCAAUAAGGUUCAUGCGUGGACCGAUGAGAGUACGAGGCGAAUAAGCAUCGGCUAACUCCGUGCCAGCAGCGGC